AGCCUGCUAAUCGGCCCACGUUUAAUCGGACCAGUUUGGCUUGGUUCCGAUGUGGUCCGAUUAAGCGGG
rnacentral:miRNA from 1 species